rnacentral:rRNA from 1 species
UACGGGGGGAGCAAGCGUUGUUCGGAUUUACUGGGCGUAAAGGGCGGGUAGGCGGCCACCGCAAGUCAGUUGUGAAAUCUCUGGGCUUAACCCAGAAAGGUCAACUGAUACUGCGGGGCUAGAGUGCAGAAGGGGCAACUGGAAUUCUCGGUGUAGCGGUGAAAUGCGUAGAUAUCGAGAGGAACACCUGCGGCGAAGGCGGGUUGCUGGGCUGACACUGACGCUGAACUGCGAAGCUAGGGAGCGAACGGG